rnacentral:rRNA from 1 species
CUACGGGAUGCACCAGUGGGGAAUAUUGCACAAUGGGGGAAACCCUGAUGUAGCAACGCCGCGUGGAGGAUGACGCAUUUCGGUGUGUAAACUCCUUUUAUAUAGGAAGAUAAUGACGGUACUAUAUGAAUAAGCACCGGCUAACUCCGUGCCAGCAGCCGCGGUAAUACGGAGGGUGCAAGCGUUACUCGGAAUCACUGGGCGUAAAGCGCGCGCAGGCGGCCCCUUAAGUUGGAUGUGAAAGCCUACGGCUUAACCGUAGAACUGCAUCCAAAACUGAGGGGCUAGAGUCUGGGAGGGGAAGAUGGAAUUAGUUGUGUAGGGGUAAAAUCCGUAGAGAUAACUAGGAAUACCAAAAGCGAAGGCGAUCUUCUGGAACAGUACUGACGCUGAGGCGCGAAAGCGUGGGGAGCAAACAGGAUUAGAUACCCGCGUAGUC